rnacentral:rRNA from 1 species
GGAAUAUUGGACAAUGGGGGAAACCCUGAUCCAGCAAUCCCGCGUGAGUGAUGAAGGCCCUCGGGUCGUAAAGCUCUUUCAAGCAGGGAAGAAGAUCUGACGGUACCUGCAGAAGAAGCACCGGCUAACUCCGUGCAAGCAGCCGCGGUAAUACGGAGGGUGCAAGCGUUGUUCGGAAUCAUUGGGCGUAAAGCGCGUGUAGGCGGCCAUGUAAGUCUGGUGUGAAAGCCCGGGGCUCAACCCCGGAAGUGCAUUGGAUACUGCAUGGCUAGAGGACGAGAGAGGGAAGCGGAAUUCCUGGUGUAGGGGUGAAAUCCGUAGAUAUCAGGAGGAACAUCUGUGGCGAAGGCGGCUUCCUGGCUCGUUACUGACGCUGAGACGCGAAAGCGUGGGGAGCA